rnacentral:rRNA from 1 species
UGGUAGUNCACGCCGUAAACGAUGAGUGCUAGGUGUUAGGCCCUUUCCGGGGCUUAGUGCCGGAGCUAACGCAAUAAGCACUCCGCCUGGGGAGUACGACCGCAAGGUUGAAACUCAAAGGAAUUGACGGGGGCCCGCACAAGCGGUGGAGUAUGUGGUUUAAUUCGAAGCAACGCGAAGAACCUUACCAGGUCUUGACAUCCCGAUGCUAUUCUUAGAGAUAGGAAGUUACUUCGGUACAUCGGAGACAGGUGGUGCAUGGUUGUCGUCAGCUCGUGUCGUGAGAUGUUGGGUUNANNNNNNNNNNNGAGCGCAACCCUUAUUGUUAGUUGCCAUCAUUAAGUUGGGCACUCUAGCGAGACUGCCGGUAAUAAACNGGAGGAAGGUGGGGAUGACGUCAAAUCAUCAUGCCCCUUAUGACCUGGGCUACACACGUGCUACAAUGGUCGGUACAACGAGUUGCGAGCCGGUGACGGCAAGCUAAUCUNUGAAAGCCGAUCUCAGUUCGGAUUGGAGGCUGCAACUCGCCUCCAUGAAGUCGGAAUCGCUAGUAAUCGCGGAUCAGCACGCCGCGGNGAAUACGUUCCCGGGCC